rnacentral:rRNA from 1 species
UACGGAGGUGGCAAGCGUUGUCCGGAAUUAUUGGGCGUAAAGCGCGCGCAGGCGGCCUCUUAAGUCUGAUGUGAAAUCUUGCGGCUCAACCGCAAGCGGCCAUUGGAAACUGGGGGGCUUGAGUACAGAAGAGGAGAGUGGAAUUCCACGUGUAGCGGUGAAAUGCGUAGAUAUGUGGAGGAACACCAGUGGCGAAGGCGACUCUCUGGUCUGUAACUGACGCUGAGGCGCGAAAGCGUGGGGAGCAAACAGG